rnacentral:rRNA from 1 species
UACGAAGGGGGCUAGCGUUGUUCGGAAUUACUGGGCGUAAAGGGCGCGCAGGCGGUCCUUCAAGUCAGGCGUGAAAGCCCCGGGCUCAACCUGGGAAUCGCGCUUGAGACUGAGGGACUUGAGUUCGGGAGAGGAGAGCGGAAUUCCCAGUGUAGAGGUGAAAUGCGUAGAUAUCUGGAGGAACACCGGUGGCGAAGGCGGCAUCCUGGACCGAUACUGACGCUGAGGAGCGAAAGCCAGGGGAGCAAACGGG